UACGUAGGGUCCAAGCGUUAAUCGGAAUUACUGGGCGUAAAGCGUGCGCAGGCGGUUGUGUAAGCCAGAUGUGAAAUCCCCGGGCUUAACCUGGGAAUGGCAUUUGGGACUGCACGGCUAGAGUACGGCAGAGGGGACUAGAAUUCCUGGUGUAGCAGUGAAAUGCGUAGAUAUCAGGAGGAAUACCGAUGGCGAAGGCAGGUCCCUGGGUCGAUACUGACGCUCAUGCACGAAAGCGUGGGGAGCAAAC
rnacentral:rRNA from 1 species